UACGUAGGGCGCAAGCGUUGUCCGGAAUUAUUGGGCGUAAAGAGCUCGUAGGCGGUCUGUCGCGUCGGAUGUGAAAGCCCGGGGCUUAACCCCGGGUCUGCAUUCGAUACGGGCAGACUAGAGUGUGGUAGGGGAGAUCGAAUUCCUGGUGUAGCGGUGAAAUGCGCAGAUAUCAGGAGGAACACCGGUGGCGAAGGCGGAUCUCUGGGCCAUUACUGACGCUGAGGAGCGAAAGCGUGGGGAGCGAACAGG
rnacentral:rRNA from 1 species